AUCAACGGAUACAGAAAAUGAAAAACUGUAACUGGGAUUUAAAUGGGAACAUUUGUUAAAAAGAAUAAACUUAAUAAUAGUUCCAAGUGCUCUACAUUUGGACAAAAAAUUAGGCCGUAGUUAAAAGCUGC
rnacentral:sRNA from 21 species